rnacentral:rRNA from 1 species
GAUGAACGCUGGCGGCGUGCCUAAUACAUGCAAGUCGAACGAGCGAGAUCCAGCUUGCUGGAUUUAGCGAGUGGCGAACGGGUGAGUAAUACGUAAGCAACCUGCCUACACGGACUGGGAUAACACCUGGAAACGGGCGCUAAUACCGGAUAGGUAACGGAAGGGCAUCCUUCUGUUAUUAAAGGUUAGAAACACAAGUAGAUGGGCUUACGGUGCAUUAGCUAGUUGGUGAGGUAACGGCCCGCCAAGGCGAUGAUGCAUAGCCGGCCUGAGAGGGUGAACGGCCACAUUGGGACUGAGACACGGCCCAGACUCC